rnacentral:rRNA from 1 species
AGUGGCGGACGGGUGAGUAACACGUGAGAAUCUGCCCUUAGGAGGGGGACAACAGUUGGAAACGACUGCUAAUACCCCAUAUGUCCAUGGAUGAAAGGAGAAAUCCGCCUGAGGAGGAGCUCGCGACUGAUUAGCUAGUUGGUAGUGUAAUGGACUACCAAGGCGACGAUCAGUAGCUGGUCUGAGAGGAUGAUCAGCCACACUGGGACUGAGACACGGCCCAGACUCCUACGGGAGGCAGCAGUGGGGAAUUUUCCGCAAUGGGCGAAAGCCUGACGGAGCAAUACCGCGUGUGGGAGGACGGCCUACUGGUUGUAAACCACUUUUCUCAGGGAAGAAGAACUGACGGUACCUGAGGAAUCAGCAUCGGCUAACUCCGUGCCAGCAGCCGCGGUAAUACGGAGGAUGCAAGCGUUAUCCGGAAUUAUUGGGCGUAAAGCGUCCGUAGGUGGUUAUGCAAGUCUGCUGUUAAAGAGUGGAGCUUAACUCCAUAGAGGCGGUGGAAACUGCAUAGCUAGAGAGUGGUAGGGGUAGAGGGAAUUCCCAGUGU